UGGAAGUUGGACGAUCAUAUCCAAGCUAAUAUGAUCUGAACAUAGGUGUGGUUCCUGCUCUCCUGGUCUGUUUUCUGAUUCCAGGGUUCCUAAUUUUUUUGAAUUGCAAUCCAUAUUGUUCCUCAGGGUUCCUGAUCCUUAGGAACUGGAAGUGAACUCCUUCUCAGGGCUCUUGUUUCCUUGGAAUAAGAAGGGGGUACUGUUCUUUACAGUCCCUUUUUCCUUGGUACCAUAAAUGUUACUUUUCCUCAGGGUUCUGAAACUUGUGAUUGAAAGUGAUACUGAUCCUCAGGGGUCUUUUAGAAAGACAAGAGAAGGGAAGGAACAAGCACUAAGUUCCUACUAUGUUUCGGGUCUUGUGCUAAGUGCUUUAUAGAUAUCUCAUUUGAUUAGGUAUUUUCUAAAGAGCUUCCACCCUAGGAUUCAGUAAAGUUGAUUAAUGACUGAGUGACCAGUAGACCCCUUAACCUACUAUAUGUCAACUGUUCAUCUUACACAUCAGCUUGUGUUUCAGUUUUAUAUUCUUUCCAGUAUUCCACCCAAUCUACCUUAUGUGAAUGAGAAAGUUGGAGAAAACCUGCAAGAGAGCCUAAGGAGUAAGAUUUGCAAAAGCUGUCAAUCAAGAAGCAUUCUGGAAUGGAAUGGCAAUGGGGGGGGAGAGACUGUUGAUAGGAACAGCCAAACUGUGAGAAGUGGUCUCUUGCUCUUGAGACAGGAAGGAUCUUGAAGAGAGAAGAAAACCAGAUGUGUAUCAAUUAAGGAACAAUGGCAGAUUGCAUAUAGAUGAGGGCUCACUUGCCUGGCAUACAGGCUGUAAGUGUUAUAGUCUCUAGGAGGGGUAGACAUCACUGGUGGGUAAAGGAAUAAGUGAAUGCUUCUUGGAAGAAGUUCAUUAUGUCAGAUACCAGAGAAAAGCCCUCAAGUUCUCAUGCUUUAUCAAUGAAUUUUGUGGGGAAGAGUAAUUUUCUUCUGGGGACAUGUCCAUAUAAAACUCCACAUGAGAGUAAAACAAAAGACUAAGCUAGGUGCCUCUCAGGGUUUUUUCCUGUUUUUGUCUUUUCUUUCCUUCCUUUUGAUCUUUUCCCCCUUUUUUCUUUUUUGUCUUUUCCCUCCUUCCUUUUGAUCUUUCUCCCCUUUUUUUCUUUCUGAUUCUCUUUUUCUUUUUCCUUUUCUACUUUCUCCUUUUCCUUCCUCUGGCACUUUGCCUUCUUUUUAUUCCAUAUACUCUUCUUCCUCUUCCACCUUAUCCAUUCUCUGUCUCUUGCCUUAAUUUUUACUAUUAUUACUAUUAUUUUUGUUGUUAUAAGUUCUGGACCUCUACAUUUAGCAACGUAAGGAGCUCUCUUCAUUUGUAAAGGUAGACCAUUUGUUGGUAUUUUACAGUUUCAGAGCUUCUUGGGCACACUGAAUGGUUAAAUGACUUGUCUAGUUUUGUUUCACAUAAUGUAAUCAAAUGAAGGACUUGAACUCAAUUCUUUAAGAUUUUAUCCUUUAUCCACUAUACAAUGCCUCCUCUCUAUUAAUAAUAGUUAAUAACAAUGAAUGUAAUUAAUUCUUCAGGAUACACUAGGGUACUAUUGGUGGAAAAGAAAAUUGGUCCAACCAUCCUGGAAAACAAUUUGGUAUUAUUUUUUUAAAAAGUGUUCAUAAUCUAAUUGUUCCAGAGAUUUCACUGCUAAGGAUAUGUCCCAAGGAACUCAGUGAUAAAAAGAAAGUCAUCACAUAUAAUGUUAUAUUUAUAACAUCAAUUUUUGUAGUAUGAAAGAACUAGAAAUUAAGUAAAUACCCAUUUAUUAGAGAAUGGAUAAACAUGUUGUGAUAGGUGAAUAUAGUAAAAUAGUUUUGUGCUAUAGGAACUGUGAAUAUGGGAAAUACAGAGAAGCUUAGGAAGACUUCUAUGAUCUUAUGCAAAGUGUAGUAAUCAUAACCAUGAAAACCAUAUAUAUGCAUAUAUACAUAUAUGUGUAUAUAUUUAUGUAUAUGAUGGCCUACAACAGUUUAUAUUGAAAGAACAACAGCAAAGCAAUUGAAAUUUAAUGUUGUAAAGUUAUGACUGAUUUUGACAUGAAAGAAGAGAAAUGAGACAAUAUCUUCCCCACUUUUCACAUAUAAUGUCAGACUUUUUGGUAUGUUUCUUAGUAUUUUUUGAAGCAUUUUUUAUUUCAUUUCUGUUUUUUGUUAUAAUGGAUUAUUCCUUUAUAAGGUGUGAGGAGUGAGAGAUAUAUUAGGAAAUAUAUGUUACAUAAGAAAAGAAAAUGGUGACCAUAAUUUAAGAUAAUUAAUACUUCUUAAUACCUUGAACCACAGCCAAAUCAGUUUCCUUUCAAAACAUCAGGAAUUUAUAAUACUCAAAAGGCUUAGUUCUUAAAAACAUGUUCAAGAUCAAUCCCCACACUAUUCAAAUUAUAUUUUUUAAAAUAUAUUUUACAGAAAGGAAAACUGAGUCACAAGUAGAUUUUUUUUAAAGCUAUCAACUAAAGCCAUUUUCUUUGUCCCUAAGUGCCUCUGUCACAUUUUAGUUCAUUGAAAUUUUAUUGCUUUGAAAAGCAAGCAUCAAAAUUGUAACUACUUAAAAAUAGAAGCAAGUUGCUAGCUUCUUUGGAAUUCAAAUCUAGAAUCCCGUGAUGCUUGACCUAAAAAAGAAAAAAAGUGUAUUGUUUAUUCUUUAAUUAAUAUGAUAGAGUAUACAGCUGUUAGCAGACUGAUUUAAGCUUCCCUUUAAAAGGAAGUAGCAAAUGGGAAAAUUGGUCCUUUGGUAUUUUGCUUCAAAAUUCUUCAUUCCCAAAGGUGUGUAACUUAACCAUUUUCAAUAAUACUAUCCCAAAGUGUCAUAGCAGCAGCCCUUGUAUAAAGAUUAUGGUGUUAUUGUCUCUUGGGGCUCAUUUUAGUUUAGGUUUUUUUUUUCUUUUUUCUCCUAGGGUAGUUAGUCCCAAGGGACAACAACUUAAAUUAAAAUGGAGGAAGUGGUUUCAAUAAAAUGUGUACUAACCAAGAUCUUUAGUGACCU
rnacentral:lncRNA from 1 species